CCUACGGGAGGCAGCAGUGAGGAAUAUUGGUCAAUGGUCGGGAGCCUGAACCAGCCAAGUAGCGUGAGGGAUGACUGCACUACGGGUUGUAAACUUCUUUUGUAAAGGAAUAAAGUCAGGCACGUGUGCCUUGUUGUGUGUACUUGAUGAAUAAGGAUCGGCUAACUCCGUGCCAGCAGCCGCGGUAAUACGGAGGAUCCGAGCGUUAUCCGGAUUUAUUGGGUUUAAAGGGAGCGUAGAUGGGUUGUUAAGUCAGUUGGGAAAGGUUGCGGCUCAACCGUAAAACUGCAAUUGAUACUGGAAGUCUUGAGUACAGUUGAGGUAGGCGGAAUUCGUGGUGUAGCGGUGAAAUGCUUAGAUAUCACGCAGAACUCCGAUUGCGAAGGCAGCAUACUAA
rnacentral:rRNA from 1 species